CAGCAUUUGCCACAGCUGAAAAGGGGCUUGGUGUUUUGCAUCAGUUUGUAACAAGCCUGUUGCUUUUGAGGGCAUUCAUCAGUAGAGAAAAAUUUAUAUAUGUAGUCCUGCUGCUGCACACCCAGGACUCCAGUGAGACAUGUGAGCCUUGCACAGGAGAGAAGGGCUGUCCUCUCCCACCAGCAUUGCUCCUGAUGAAGGGCUGCCUUUUCUCAGCUAAUUCCUCUGGCCACCCAAGGAAAGCAUUCUGCAUGGCUUCUUAAAGACAAAGUCAGAGGUGUUUCGGGGACAGCAUGACUUCAUGAUAGAAGAUGGCACGGUCACAGAAUGUACCAGCCCUUCAGCUCUGGAACGGCAAUUCACAUCUGAACAGAGGUGAUUAGCCAAAAUUAGUGCACUUAUUCCCUCUUUAUCUUCAGUGGACAUGAAACCAGACCACAAAACAACUGUAGACUGUCUUGCAACUGGCAGGCUCUGGUCAUGAGAAAGCCAGAGCUUGAGAGAACAGAAGGUUGGGGCUGAUGAGGAAAGGCAGAGCUAUUGCACACCAAAAAUCUCACUCAGCCUUGACCAAGGUUAAGACUGCAUUUUAUUGCCUUGCUUUCAUAACUAUAGAUGUUUUCAGAUCUAUUGAAUUUAAUAAAGAUUCCUCUGUGGUGAUGGGCAACCAGGGGUCGGUAUCACAAGGCGUGGAAAGGAGCAGUAUAAAUACUCUUGGGAGUAAUGGAAACCACCUCCUAUUGAUCCGCUGCUGGGAUGUGUCAUAUUCGGACAGAUAAAUAUCUCUGCAGAAUUGACUGUGCAGAUUGUAAUGUUGUACCUAUUUCCAUCAGUGUAUAUGUAUUCCUCUCUCCUUCAAUUUUCUUUUUCACCUAUUUGCUAUGAAUGUUGCCUCAUGUUAUUUUAGUUGUCUCACUGUGUACUGCUUAGACUUCCAGAACCAAAUUUGAAAGCUAAUUAGCUAUGGAAGGAUGAAGGUCAAAAUCCUGUAUGGAAGCCAGAUCCUUCAUUAAUGAUGACACAAAACGAUAGAAUAAAUGGACUCAAGAAACUUA